UCGUUUGUAGAAAGUGGUAGUCUUUUGGUGAUUUAGGCGGUUUUAAACGCCAUUACUUGCUCAGUUGCUCCUGCUUCACUGGUAAUUAAAAAAACUAUUCUAUUUCACUAAUAAAGGCUAUGCUAUUCAAUCGAACCUCCAUCACAAUGUGAGAAUCAAGAAGAAACUCCAUCGUAACAUGAGAUCUGCGAUCUCAUCCACGAUGCUUUCCUCUGGCGGCAAUGCCGUUGUUGCUGCCUUCGAAGGAGCGCUCUUCUUUGAUUAGGUUUUCUGGCUUUGAUUUGAGGGUUCGUUGCGCCGCCGCUCAUCUCUUCGUCACCAUAAGCAACGCUAUCAUUGCUGUCCUCGGUAUAAUCUGAGAUCGCACAUCGGAGGGAGAGGGAAAUGAGAACGAGAGUGAGUUCAUCUCAAACCCUAGAGUUUGUCGCCGCCAUCGUCACCACCAUUCAUCUCAUUUCAGCCGCUUUCAUCAACCUUCUGCGUUCGAGUGAAGGCGCCUCUAUCGACGUGUUUCAAAAUCUGGUCACUACGCCAUAGCUUAUGAGAUUGAGCGAAUCACCUAUUCCAUUAAUGUGUCUCCUCCGCCAGCGGCGCCGGUGCGUUCUCACUUCUGCAUUCUCUUCUUCUUCAAUCCACUCAACAUUGCUCGUAGCUGAAGACUUCAAGAGGAGUUUACACUGUGAACUCUGCCUGUGAAGAGGUACUUGAUAUUUAAGUGAAAUAAAAAGUCACACUUGACAAGAUUAAUUAAAAUAAAAAAACUAAAGCAUUCAUUCCCUACAACAUUUAGAAAAUGUUAAUCAAAUAUCACAUAAGGAAAUUGGAAAAAGUUAAUCCAUGUACCACUGUAUGCGUUAAUUGACCAACGAGCUAAAAUGGUCAUUCAUUCUUUAUUGGGGGGAAAAGACAGGACUAACGACGUAUAUAUAUUUGUACUUUGUACGUAACAGCACCUUAGAUUUGAUUAUUUUUUUCAUGGAGCUAACUGUUUCUUUCUUUUAAAAUAAAAGAAGAUAUCUUAAAUGUAAAAUCCAAUUCAUUAAUUAGUAAUUACUUUAGAAUAUAUAGUCAUCAAUGAUGAUCAGUUUAUGAAAAUCUAUCUAAUGAAUUAUAUUAGAGAUUUGAGAUAUAGCUAUUACGUAAAAUAGUUAGGUCGGCGCCAAAAGUGGUUAGCUCACUUGAGAGUUAGUUACAGUUAGCAAGUUAAUUAGUUAUGUAGUUAGAAGAUAUUUAUGUGGAGUCAGGUAAAGAUAGUGUAGCAGAGUAGUAUAUUCCCAAUGGAUCUCUCCAUUAUCACUUAAAUUGGAAUGAAGAAGCUCUAACAUGGAAGAAAAGACUAGAAAUAUGCAUUGGAGUAGCAGAAAGAUUGAGCUACCUUCACACAACAUCAAAUUUUCACCAUAACAUAAAACUCAGCAACAUCCUUUUGGAUUAUGAUAUGGUUCCCAAACUCUCAGAUUUUGGGCUCCCAUGGUCCAAGAAAAUUCAUGCAGGUGACUUUUUAUUUUCAUUUUUAUCUUAGCAAAGCAAAAAUACUUAUUUAAUCAUUUGUUGUUGUUAACCAGUCACCAAUUCUGUGGCUUAUUACAGAAGAUUAUGCUGCUCUGGAGUUGUUACAAGGACAUGAUUUCACAGAUAAAUGUGAUGUUUAUUCCUUUGGUAUAAUUCUCUUAAAAAUGGUACUAACAAACAAGCUAUCAAUUGUUGAAGGGGUUAUUUAUCUCAAUCUAAAGGGAAAGAUUGCACUACAGUGUUGGGAAGUAUUCUUGAAUGUCAUAAAAUGCUGUUUGAAGUUUGAAGCAAAUGAGAGACCAACAAUGAAUGAAGUGAUAGCUCAACUUCAACAUGACCUGGCACUGCAAGAGGAGGCAGGUUCCAACACAAGUGGUGAUUACAACUUGUUAUCUGUGACCUUUGAUCCUCCGGUUGGAGGAAGCAUAUAUUACUAAGAACAUUACAAGUGUGAAAAGGGAUUGAGAAUUGAAAAAGAGGCGAAGAGACAGGAUCAAUGAGAAGAUGCGUGCAUUGCAAGAUCUCAUACCAAACUGCAUAAGGGUUUGAUGUGGGAGAACUCUCAGAAGAGAGUCUGGAUGAUUGGGAAGGUUUAGAUGCAUUAGCAGCACACAUAGCUAACUUGCUGUCAACAGAACCAGCUGAUGGGAAAAUUGUUCGCUCUCCUCAUGGUGUCAUGCAUGGGAAAAGCUCUUUGGUGUAUUAUGAUGAGAAAGGAGAAGAUGGAUUAUUUGCCGGAUUAUCAAACUGGUAGAUAUCACAGCCUUGUGAUCGAAAAGGAGAGUUUUCCUCAUGAAGAACUUGAGGUGACAGCCUAGACUGAGGAUGGUCUUAUAAUGGCAGCUCGUCAUAAGAAGUAUAAGCAUCUACAGGGUGUGCAGUUUCAUCCAGAGAGCAUUAUAACAACCGAACGAAAGGAAAUUGUUCGAAACUUUAUCAAACUCAUUGAGAGAAAGGAGGCUGGUGGUUCAUGAAAAUGUUUAGUGCUGAAUAUUAAUGCAUUGCAACAUUUGUGGUGUGAUGACCACAUACAUGAAACGGAAAACAGUUUAAGAAAUUCAUUGGCAAAUCUAUAAGUUAGGAUUUUAUUAAUUAAAUAGCAAUGAGCAAAUAUCAGGUUAGAAUGAAUUGAUUCAUUAUACUAUAAGCGAUAAAUGUGAUUGUUGUAGACCUACAAAUUGAUUCACUAAUAAAAAAUUAUAUAUUAUAUUAA